GAUGACCGUUGAAACACACGUUCACCACAGUAGGUGGCGGUAUGCACCUAUGAAGUUGGUUCGCAAUCCGCCAUGAAACCAAAAGAAGAAGAAGAAACACACGUCAUCACGUCAGGCCAGCUGUCGAAGCAGCUCGAGAAAGUUGGCGCUUUUAUCAGAUCGUUUGUUUGGAGUGUCUGUUUGUUCCAGCCAUUGUGUUCCUAUAUGCUCCUCCAGAGACUACUAUCCGGACUGUCCGUGCCAGUGUUGUGACUCUUGCAUCUUUCACCGUGUGACGUUGUCCGGGGCCCGAGGAGUUCUUACAAACAGAUUGAUGGCAACAAUGAACAUGGAUGGUUCAGGGGUGAAGAAGGCCUUUGAAAAACACGGCUAUGUCGUGUUAUAAUAGGUGCUGUACAGUGGUCCAAACCUUCAGGGUCAGAGGCUGAAAUAAAAAUACAUGGGAAGCUAUCUCCGGUUUGCUCCUGAUAGGGUAUGGGACGACAAAAGGAGAAAUCUGCAAUUAAUGUGUGUUCAGAUUCUGAAUAAGUAGCCUUUAACCUAUUGUUUAUGAUCUACAAUGUUUCUGUUUAUUUGUUCAUCUACAAUGUUUCUGUUCAUGUGUGAUAUGAUCUGACAUGAUGAAAUAUGAAAUGCAGGUUUUUGUAUCUUUAGCUCUUUAGUUUUUUUUUUAACUUGAACAUUGGUUGCAUUACAUUCAUAUAUAAAAAAGGUACAUCAAUUAAAAUGUAUAUUUGACUUAGAUUUUUAAAAUCUUGAAUUGUAGCGGUAAAAUAAAAACUGUUUACAUUUAAUAC